rnacentral:rRNA from 1 species
UACGUAGGUGGCGAGCGUUGUCCGGAUUUACUGGGCGUAAAGGGAGCGUAGGCGGACUUUUAAGUGAGAUGUGAAAUACCCGGGCUCAACUUGGGUGCUGCAUUUAAAACUGGAAGUCUAGAGUGCAGGAGAGGAGAAUGGAAUUCCUAGUGUAGCGGUGAAAUGCGUAGAGAUUAGGAAGAACACCAGUGGCGAAGGCGAUUCUCUGGACUGUAACUGACGCUGAGGCGCGAAAGCCAGGGGAGCAAACGGGAUUAGAUACCCGGGUAGUCCCU